rnacentral:rRNA from 1 species
AAGCCACGGCUAACUACGUGCCAGCAGCCGCGGUAAUACGUAGGUGGCGAGCGUUGUCCGGAAUUACUGGGUGUAAAGGGAGUGUAGGCGGGAAAGCAAGUCAGAAGUGAAAACUAUGGGCUUAACCCAUAGCCUGCUUUUGAAACUGUUUUUCUUGAGUGAAGUAGAGGCAAGCGGAAUUCCUAGUGUAGCGGUGAAAUGCGUAGAUAUUAGGAGGAACACCAGUGGCGAAGGCGGCUUGCUGGACAGUAACUGACGUUGAGGCUCGAAAGCGUGGGGAGCAAACAGGAUUAGAUACCCU